GAGGAAAAGAAAAUAACAAUGAUUUCCCUAGUAACGGCGAGUGAAGAGGAAAGAGCUCAAAGUUGGAACCUGUUUGGCUUAGCUAAACCGGAUUGUAAACUGUAGAAACGUUUUCCUGAUACGCCAGAUAAAUAAGUCCUUUGGAACAGGGCAUCAUAGAGGGUGAGAAUCCCGUCUUUGGUCUGAGCUGUUAUCUUUUGUGAUACGUUUUCAAAGAGUCAGGUUGUUUGGGAAUGCAGCCUAAAUUGGGUGGUAAAUCUCACCUAAAGCUAAAUAUUUGCGAGAGACCGAUAGCGAACAAGUACCGUGAGGGAAAGAUGAAAAGAACUUUGAAAAGAGAGUUAAACAGUAUGUGAAAUUGUUAAAAGGGAACCGUUUGGAGCCAGACUGGCUUGAUUGUAAUCAAUCUAGGUUUCGACCUGGAUGCACUUGCGGUCUAUGCCUGCCAACGACAAUUCUUUCUGGAGGAAAAAACUAAAUGGAAUGUGGCCCCUCGGGGUGUUAUAGACUUUUAGAAAAUACUCUGGAUGGGAUUGAGGAACGCAGUGAAUGCUUAUGGCGAGAUUGCUGAGCGCUUUUGUUGAUAGAUGUUAGAAUUUCUGCUUCGGGUGGUGCUAAUGUUUAAAGAUAAAACUCGUUUGGUUAAUUUUCUAUUCACUUAGGUUGUUGGCUUAAUGACUCUAAAUGAC
rnacentral:rRNA from 1 species